AACGUAGGUUCCGAGCGUUAUCCGGAUUUACUGGGCGUAAAGCGCGUUCAGGCGGUUUGGCAAGUCGGGCCUGAAAUCUCUCGGCUCAACCGGGAGAGGUUGUCCGAUACUGCUGGACUUGAGGGCAGUAGAGGGUGGUGGAAUUCCGGGUGUAGUGGUGAAAUGCGCAGAUAUCAGGAGGAACACCGGUGGUGUAGACGGCUCUCUGGACCGUAACUGACGCUGAGGCACGAAAGCGUGGGUAGCAAACAGG
rnacentral:rRNA from 1 species